rnacentral:rRNA from 1 species
CCUACGGGAGGCAGCAGUGGGGAAUAUUGGACAAUGGGCGAAAGCCUGAUCCAGCAAUGCCGCGUGAGUGAUGAAGGCCUUAGGGUUGUAAAGCUCUUUUACCAGGGAUGAUAAUGACAGUACCUGGAGAAUAAGCUCCGGCUAACUCCGUGCCAGCAGCCGCGGUAAUACGGAGGGAGCUAGCGUUGUUCGGAAUUACUGGGCGUAAAGCGUACGUAGGCGGUUAUUCAAGUCAGAGGUGAAAGCCUGGAGCUCAACUCCAGAACUGCCUUUGAAACUAGAUAGCUAGAAUCUUGGAGAGGUGAGUGGAAUUCCGAGUGUAGAGGUGAAAUUCGUAGAUAUUCGGAAGAACACCAGUGGCGAAGGCGACUCACUGGACAAGUAUUGACGCUGAGGUACGAAAGCGUGGGGAGCAAACAGGAUUAGAUACCCUGGUAGUCCACGCCGUAAACGAUGAUAACUAGCUGUUCGGGCUCUACGAGCUUGAGUGGCGCNGCUACGCAUUAAGUUAUUCCGUCCGUCGGGGUAGGUACGGUCGGCGAAGAAUUAAAACUUAACAAAGGAAAGUUAGUACGGCGUGAGACGUGCCGACGGACGACGACGAGGGGAGGUUAGG